AUGGCAAUUAAUAUUAAUGGCGAGGUGGGAUCAUUUUUUAGGUCCUCUAGGGGAGUGAGGCAAGGGGGUCCUAUUUCCCCUCUUCUCUUUAACCUCGUUAUCGAUGCCUUGGCGGGCAUCCUAGACAAAGCUAGGAUGGCGGGUCACCUCUCGGGGGUAGUGGGUCACUUGAUCCCUGAUGGAGGUGUCACUCAUCUAUAG
rnacentral:rRNA from 1 species